CACUUUCAUUUAUUUUCUUCGAUGAUUUUUUUUGCCCCCCUUAAGCUUUCUACAAUAUUUCUUCGUCUUGUUAUUUCCUCUCGUCGAUUUCUGUUAUAUGCAGAAGGAAUAACUUAAGUUCGGCGCCUUAGCAACAGUUGGACGAGCUGAGCGCACCUUUGAUUUUUCCUUCUUUCCUUUCUUCCAUCCUUCUUCUUUUCUUUUUUCUUUCUUCCAUUCCUUCUUUCCUCACUUCGUCAACUCUAUUUCUUCAUUUCUUUUAUAUAUACACACACACACACACACACACACACACACACACACACACACACACACAUAUACAUAUACAUAUAAAGAAGAAAAAAGAAGAGAAACCAACAAUGAUAAGCCUAAGUCACCUUCCAAGUUAUAUUUUUUUUUUAUUAGUGAGUUUCGCGAUUCUUCCAUAUCGGCGAGGCGCAGCAAUCGUAGUCCUUGAUCUAGAAAUGUAAUGUUAGUUUCCGACGAACGUCGACACCGCCAGUAUAGAAAAUGCUGGGACUACUUACAUAUCUGAAGAGAUCGUCGUUCGUCGAAUUCCCUUUGUCAAAAAAAGCGAGCUUCGUAACCGGAUUAUCGAGAAGUUUGGUACGGACUUGGUCCAGGAAAUUGGAGCACCAACUCCCAACAGACGGCAUAGUCGACGUGCUAUAUAAGACGAAGACAUUGCGAGAUUCCGACCUGUGGAUCAUUGUGCAACAUUUGACUUUCGACUCGAUUUACAAUUUUGUAGAUAUCGUUUAAGAGUUUGUUCCUAUACAAAAGAAAAAAAAAAAGAAAAAAAAAGAAAGAAGAAGAAAGAAGAAGAAAAAAAAAAAAAGAAAAAAAGAAAAAGAAAA